AAAAUUGAGUUUUCUACCGCUAGGCUAUUCAUAGUUUUGGGGUUCAACCGUACCCAAUCUGCCACUGAUCCACAACCCCCGUUCCCUCCCUUAUUCUUAGCAGACUCAGCAUCAACAAAAUUGGCGCUGUCUCCGUUGUUCACUCGCGCCAGCACUAUUGCUCCUCGCCACUGCCUCUGUGGAUUUGUGCUCGCCGCCCUCUUCCUGCCUCAGCUCAACAACAUCAAGAAGCCCUAAUCGUAUUUGCUCACCAGCUCAACUUCUUCUUCGCUGAUCUUGAAUCUUCUUCACACAAGUAUUUCAUCAAACACAUUGAAGACGCUCGAGGGAAACGUUUCGUGUUCCAGUUCGCACCAAUUUUCUAUCGCUGGUAAGUCAAACUAUCCACCAAUUAUGCGAAUUUUAUGAAGUAUACCAAUACAGAAGAUCAAUUGGCUUCCCGGAAAAUCUUGAUUUUCGAUGGAAUGCUUACAUUUUGCAAGGUGUGAGAGCCUACUAGUUAAAACCGUAUGUGCAAUCGUAGUUAAGGGCUAUUGGGAUAAACUCUUGAAACCAAAGAUUGGUUCAAGCUUGACAUCAUCUGUUAUAAACCAAGUAUUAUCUGAAUUUUCUGCAAAUGGGUUCUUAGUUUCAUGGUCAUUCUUCAAAUGGGUGGAAACAAUCCCACAGUAUAAGCAUUCGCUGCAAUCUUCUUGGACCAUGAUUUGUACUCUCACGAAACAAAACCAUUUUAGGGCUGCUCAAAAUUUGGUCGAAAAGAUCGCAAGAAGAGAUUUUUUAUCGUCUCCGACUGUUUUAAAUGCUCUUGUGAAUAGUUGCAGCGAUCCUGAUGUAAAUGCUCGUGUUUUGAGCUGGUUGGUGAUAUUUUAUGCUGAUUCGAAGAUGAGCUCAGAGGCGGUUCAUGUUUUUGAGCAUAUGAGGAUAUGCGGAUAUAAGCCACAUCUACAUGCUUGUACUGUGCUUUUGAAUUCGUUGGUGAAAGAGGGGCUGACUAAUUUGGUGUGGAAAGUGUAUAAUAAGAUGGUUAAAGUUGGGGUUCAUCCGAAUUUACUUGUUUAUAAUGUGUUGAUCCAUGCUUGUUGUAAGUCGAAGGAUGCAGAGAAGGCUGAGGAGUUGUUGAUUGAAAUGGAGUCGAACAAUGUAGUGCCUGAUAUUUUCACGUAUAAUACAUUGAUUUCGUUGUACUGCAAAAAGGGUAUGCAUUAUGAGAUGUUAUGUGUUCAAGAUAGGAUGGAAAGAGGAGGAGUGUGUCCGGAUAUUGUAACUUACAAUUCACUUAUUUAUAGUUAUUGCAGAGAAGGCCGAAUGAGGGAGGCUUUGAGGCUGUUUAAGGAGAUUAAAGGUGCCGCGCCUAACCAUGUCACAUAUACUACCUUGAUUGAUGGUUAUUGCAGAGAUGGUGAUAUUGGCAAAGCAUUGCAGUUGCGCGGUGAAAUGGAGGCCAACGGGUUGUAUCCUGGCGUAGUUACCUAUAAUGCACUUCUGCGGAAGUUAUGCGAAGAUGGCCGGAUGGGGGAUGCAAAUAAAAUAUUGAAUGAGAUGGGUGAUAGAAAAAUUGAACCUGAUGUUGUGACUUGUAACACGUUGAUUAAUGCUUAUUGCAAGAUAGGUGAUAUGAGAUCUUCUUUGAAGUUUAGAAAUAGGAUGUUGGAGGCGGGGCUGAGGCCUGAUCAGUUUACGUACAAGGCAUUGAUUCAUGGGUACUGUAAAUCGAAGGAGAUAAACAGUGCUAAAGAGAUGUUAUUUGAUAUGAUUAGGGCUGGAUUAUCCCCAAGUUAUUGCACAUAUACAUGGCUUGUGGAUUUCUACUGCAACAGAAAUGAUGAUGAGGCUAUUCUGGCGUUGCUUGAUGAGCUAGUGCAGGGGGGUAUUUGUGUCGACAUCAGUGUGUAUCGAGCAAUGAUACGAAGAUUGUGUAAGAAAGAAAGAAUUGAUUGUGCACAAAGAGUAUUUGGAGCUAUGCAAACAAGGGGGAUUUUAGGAGAUACUGUGAUCUACUCGAGCCUGGCUUAUGCACACUUAAGAGUUGGGGAUGCCGUUUCUGCUUCUGCAUUGCUAGACGAAAUGUAUAAGAGGAGACUGAUGGUGACACUCAAAAUAUUCAAAAGUAUUAGUGCUUCAUAUGCAGAUGAUGGAACCAAGUUAGACGUGUUUUGGAGCACUCUUACUGACAGAGCUUUGGUUUCGAAGUCCGUAUACCAAAAGUUUCAGCAAGCCAAGUUAUAAUUUGGAUGAAAUGUCUGUUUAUAUCAACAACUAGUCUCGAGCGCCCCAGUCAACGCCACUGGUUCUACGCAAUCAGAAAUGUUGUUUGUUUGCUGCUAGAGUUGCUGGCCUGUUGGCCUUAGCUUCAUUUAUAGGUGGGAUUAAGAUGGAGCUUUGUUGGAAUAGAUGCCCAAUUUUUGAAUAAAAAAGUAAAAUAAACAGAGCAUCCUUCUCAAAAUAGAGGAUGUUGAGACAACAUAAUGGAAGAUAGAAACUCCUCCUAUCUUUGUGGAUCAGCAUACAUCAUUCCUCCUCCCCUCUGAAUAGCCAAUCAAACAGCCCCUCAGAUUCUAUAAAUUGCCAAUCUUAACAUAUCUCCCAAUACAAGUUUUCACACACACAUUCUUCUCUCUCAAUUGUGUUUAAUAACCAAUCAGAAUGGAUAACUCCAACAGUGCAAGCUACCACGCUGGAGUGGCAAAGGGCCAAGCGCAGG